rnacentral:rRNA from 1 species
GAAUAUUGCACAAUGGGCGCAAGCCUGAUGCAGCCAUGCCGCGUGUGUGAAGAAGGCCUUCGGGUUGUAAAGCACUUUCAGCGGGGAGGAAGGCGAUAAGGUUAAUAACCUUGUCGAUUGACGUUACCCGCAGAAGAAGCACCGGCUAACUCCGUGCCAGCAGCCGCGGUAAUACGGAGGGUGCAAGCGUUAAUCGGAAUUACUGGGCGUAAAGCGCACGCAGG